rnacentral:rRNA from 1 species
AUUGAACGCUGGCGGAAUGCUUUACACAUGCAAGUCGAACGGCAGCACGGACUUCGGUCUGGUGGCGAGUGGCGAACGGGUGAGUAAUGUAUCGGAACGUGCCCAGUCGUGGGGGAUAACGUAGUGAAAAUUACGCUAAUACCGCAUACGAUCUAUGGAUGAAAGCGGGGGAUCGCAAGACCUCGCGCGAUUGGAGCGGCCGAUAUCAGAUUAGGUAGUUGGUGGGGUAAAGGCCCACCAAGCCAACGAUCUGUAGCGGGUCCGAGAGGACGACCAGCCACACUGGAACUGAGACACGGGCCAGACUCCUACGGGAGGCAGCAGUGGGGAAUUUUGGACAAUGGGCGAAAGCCUGAUCCAGCCAUUCCGCGUGCAGGAUGAAGGCCCUCGGGUUGUAAACUGCUUUUGUACAGAACGAAAAGGUUUCUACUAAUACUAGGAGCUCAUGACGGUACUGUAAGAAUAAGCACCGGCUAACUACGUGCCAGCCGCCGCCGUAA